rnacentral:rRNA from 1 species
GGCUCGGUGAGGCCUUCGGACUGGCCCAGGGAGGUCGGCAACGACCACCCAGGGCCGGAAAGUUGGUCAAACCCGGUCAUUUAGAGGAAGUAAAAGUCGUAACAAGGUCUCCGUAGGUGAACCUGCGGAGGGAUCAUUA